UGAUGAACCUAUCGUUAUGAAGAUGUAUUUAUCUGGCUGGAUUGACAAUCACAACCAACAGACUGACCAAUAGACCUGGUGAUUUGACACAGUUCUAUCUGUUGUAGCGUUACGAGUCUGCUGUGAAAAGGGCAAAUAAAAGUUGUUGUACAAUCAAGGAUUUGGAGCAAUACUGUAUUGACGAAUCAGUGGAAGGCACUAAAACCUUAGGGAUCUAUUGCAGUUACAAUCAAAUUGUCAUUCAUGGAGGAACAGCUCUUUGUUUUUAGUUUAAACAAGACGAUCAAUCAAUCGUCACUCAGUUCAAUGAAAUAGAUUUCACCUUCUACUCUCUCUCUCUCUUAACACAAUCUUAGCGUGAAUCAUUUUGGCAUCAACUCCCAAACACAGAUACAAUUGCCAUGUAUACAAACAUGAGUAAAUCCACAAUAGAUUUUUUUUUUAAAUUUUUUUUUUUACUGAGGGCUCAGCAGUAACAGUUCUAGUCUUUUACCUACGCUGUCCAUAUGCACCUAUGGCCUAGAAUCUGUGUUUGUAAUGGUGACCACAUUUUAGAUCAUGCUGCUUUUUUAAAAUAAACCCAACGACCACUGCUUUUUAGUUUUAUUUCAGAGUUCUUACUACAAGUUCUUAUUUGAGUACAUUUUAAAAGUGGUUUUAAAGAUGAUGAUGAUAUUAACAGAAGGCAGGAUUUUUUUUUUAAACUAAUGUAAAAAAAAAUAAUAAUAAUUAAAACAUUUUAAAUUGUGAUUUGAAUAUAUUUGAUGACACUGAUGGGGUUUCCUUUUUUAGUUUUAGUUUGAACAACUACUCCCUGAAGAACAUAUAUUUUUUUUAGUCACAUGCCCGCCAUACUGAGUGUUUUUAUUCUACUUUAACAAGAUGAAAAUAUGCAAAUUCCCAUUUAAGAACCACAAGCUUUGCAUGUGUUGCUCUACCCAAAAUAGAACCACAUGACGACAUCUGAUCGACAGGCUUGUUUCCCAAAUGGCACCCUAUUCCCUAAUCUAGUGCACUACUUUUGACCAGCUUUGAUCAGAAGUAGUGCAUUAUAUUAGGGAAUAGGAUGCCAUUUGGGUUUCAUCCAUGUUCUUUGAUGGUUAUCAGUGACAUCAUUGACCACAGACACUGUUCUGUUUUGACAGAACGUUGCCUGCAAACCACUGAAUGCUGAGCCAGUUGAAGUAUCUCUCUCUCUCUCUCUCGUUCUCUCUCUCUCUCUCUCUCUCUCUCGUUUUUUCUCGUUCUCUCUCUCUCUCUCUCGUUCAACUCCUCACUCAAUCACCAGCUACUCCCUGGACUUUCUAGAAUUGAUUUAUUUUCCUUUUUUUAAACUUAAAAAAAAAAAAAUGAUUUUUAGAAGUAAUUUAUUCUAAUUUAUUUUUUUUCACUCAGUGCUACUGUAUAGCUAUCGGGAUGUACACAGUUUCUUCUCCUAGUUGAUGGAACAGUCAGUCAGUAACACUACUGUGUGUUAGUGUCCUAAAUGGGACCCUAUUCCCUAUGUAGUGUGCUACUUUUGACCAGAAAAUAGUGUACCAUUGGGGACUCACACUGUGUGUUAGCUGGGCCCGUGGGUUGGGAGGACAGACGGACUAAUGUGUCUUAUACUAAGCUGUGUUAAUGGGUCUUUUGGGAAUCACACCAACCAAACCAGCAGACAAUCAAAUGUACUAAAUGUGCCUUGUGAGUAUGAGACCAGCCACAUCAACCAUCAUCCAUCACAACCAUCUGGUCAUGGUUAUCUACAGAAUGGGGGGUCACAGCUCUCCUUGUUCAGUCUGGUCAUGGUUAUCUACAGAAUGGGGGUCACAGCUCUCCUUGUUCAGUCUGGUCAUGGUUAUCUAUAGACUGGUGGUCACAGCUCUCCUAAACCAUGACCAGACUGAACAUCUAUAGAAUGGGGGUCACAGCUCUCCUAGUUCAGUCUGGUCAUGGUUAUAUAUAGAAUGGUGGUCACAGCUCUCCUAGUUUAGUCUGGUCAUCAGUCUAAAGGCUUAGCUGUGACACAUCUAUAGCACAAUAGCUGCCUGGUUGACCAUAAGUGUGUCCCAAAACUUCCCUAUGUAGUAAAGGAAUGCGUCCCAAAUGGCACCCUAUUCUCUAUUUAGUGCACUACAUUUGACCAGGGCCCAUAGGGAAUGUGGUGCCAUUUGACUAGGGCCCAUAGGGAAUAAGGUGCCAUUUAACCAGGGCGCAUAGGGAAUAGGGUGCCAUUUGACCAGGGCCCAGAGGGAAUAGGGUGCCAUUUGCCCAGGACCCAUAGGGAAUAGGGUGCCAUUUGACCAGGGCCCAUAGGGAAUAGGGUGCCAUUUUCCCAGGACCCAUAGGGGAUAGGGUGCUAUUUGACCAGGGCCCAUAGGGAAUAGGGUGCUAUUUGACCAGGGCCCAUAGGGAAUAAGGUGCCAUUUAACCAGCAUUUUGGACACAACCAUAUCAACCCUCUAGGGCAAAUGCCUAAUCUAUGACCUUUAAUCCUGACCCGUCUCAACCCUGACCCCUCUCAACACACACACACACACUCCCGGGCUCAUCGCCCCAAAACUCAAAUAUCCAAAUGACUGUUGACAAUCAACGUGCACUGGAAAGUCAUUUAUAUGCACCCACUCUUCAGACUCCUGUACUGAACCUCUCUAGAUCCAUAUUUAUAUGCACCCACUCUUCAGACUCCUGUACCGAACCUCUCUAGAUCCAUAUGUCUUUAAGAUCUGUUGUAUGCUGGCUCGGCCUAGCUCGACAAGACUAGCUUUUCCUGUGUCCCAAAUGGCACCUACUCAACAUUCUAGUGCACUACUAUUGACUGGGUCCCAUAGUGGUUCCCAGAGGGGUCCCAAAUGGCUCCCAUAGGGCUCUGGUCAAAAGUAGUGUACUAUAUUGAAAAUAGGGUGCCGUUUGUGACACGAACUAGUAGCGAUGUAGGAUGAGGGUACAAGGAGGAGUAAGCCACCAUGGCGUCCAGUAUUAUUUGUAGGUAGGAGGGGUUGUGUGGUCAUCCUAUGGGUUGGUGUUGACGUCAAAUCCAUAAGAACCAACCAUUGUCUCAACCCUUCGAGGUUAAAACUUAUACGAUAUGUUCAACCUUCAGUAUCUUGAAUAUUAAGUUAAAAUUAAAACAUUAGUUUUUUUGAAUUUCCCAAGAAAGAGUGAAUCUUAAUUAACUGUUAAGUGCUGUGAUUAUUUGUGUUUUAUAUCAACAAACAAAACAAUUCGCUGCAGCUAAUUCUUAACUUGCUAACUUUCUAAGCGAAAAAAAACUUUUUGUAUACUUUUGUAAAAAACAAAACAAAUGUAACAAUGAAGUCCGAAAACAUGAUUCUUUUUUUAAAGAUCGCUUUUUAAGUGUUGUGACAUGCUUUUUGGUUUUUACCAAUUUAAGUCCGCUGUGUCGUUCUCAGUUCAAGGGCUGUUUUUGAUAUUUGAUAAUUCUGUAUAUGGAGUAAAAAUGCAUGUCCCAGCAUUCCUGAAAUCUGUGUUUGAAUGUAAAUGAAUUGAGAGGAAAAAACACAAUCUCUCUUUUUAAAUACUACAUGAACUGAAACAUUGUGAACUUCCAUCUAACUCCUGCUCUGUUGAACUAGGACUCUCUUUAGCAAUGCCUUCAUAUCACAUCAUUCUAGAACACAUCAUUAGAGCUCUCAGAACCAUCUUCAAAUAUCACAUCAUUCUAGAACACAUCAUUAGAGCUCUCAGAACUGUCUCAAGGAUUCCACAUCGGUCGGGGCGGUGUGUUUUAUGAAGGAAGGCCCAGUCUAAAUGUAGCAGAACUGUCUGUCCAAAAUGGCACCCUAUACCCUAUGUAGUACACUACUUUUGACCAGAGCGCUAUGGGCCCUGGUCAAAAGUAGUACAUAACAUAGGGAGCCAUUUGGGAUGCAGGCAGUGUUAUGAGAUGCUUCUGAGAGCCCUGCAUGGUUUUAAAACAGCGUGAAACAAGGGGAAAGAGAGGGGGAACGAAGGAGAUAUUUGUUUGUCUAGUGCAAUAUGCUGUACAUAAAGAGCUUGGCUCUACAAAAUCCACAAAUCUUACAUUUUUCUCUAAUGAAAUGUAAUUUUCUUGUUCAAUGGGUACAUUGCUGUCUUUUUCAUUAAACUGUUCUGAAAGAUUCAAAA
ensembl:lncRNA